AGAUUUCUGAGGUGUUCGUGGUACUUUAUAUGUGUUGACCUUACGUUUAUUUUUUGAUUAGGGAUUCUAAUUGUACUAUGUGCUAACAUGCCCUUUCACUUGGUAGUUAAAUAGCAUAGGCUAAGAAACCCACCUGUUUUCUAACAGGUUCAAGACUAAAAAGUACAUUAACGGCAUUGCGGAUUUCUU
rnacentral:other from 2 species